rnacentral:rRNA from 1 species
AACGAACGCUGGCGGCGUGGAUAAGACAUGCAAGUCGAACGCUGGUUGCUGGGUAGCAAUAUUCGGCAGCCGGAGUGGCGUAAGGGUGCGCAACACGUGGGUAAUUUGCCGCGAAGCCUGGGAUAACCCCGAGAAAUCGGGGCUAAUACCGGAUGUGGAAACCGAAGGACAUCCUUUGGGUUCCAAAGCUGGGGACCGUAAGGCCUGGCACUUCGCGAUAAGCCCGCGGCCUAUCAGCUAGUUGGUGAGGUAACGGCUCACCAAGGCUAAGACGGGUAGCUGGUCUGAGAGGACGACCAGCCACACUGGAACUGAGACACGGUCCAGACACCUACGGGUGGCAG